rnacentral:rRNA from 1 species
GACGAACGCUGGCGGCGUGCCUAAUACAUGCAAGUAGAACGCUGAAGGAGGAGCUUGCUCUUCUGGCUGAGUUGCGAACGGGUGAGUAACGCGUAGGUAACCUGCCUGGUAGCGGGGGAUAACUAUUGGAAACGAUAGCUAAUACCGCAUAAGAGUAGAUGUUGCAUGACAUUUGCUUAAAAGGUGCAAUUGCAUCACUACCAGAUGGACCUGCGUUGUAUUAGCUAGUUGGUGGGGUAACGGCUCACCAAGGCGACGAUACAUAGCCGACCUGCGGGGGUGAUCGGCCACACUGGGACUGGGACAAGGCCCAGACGCCUACGGGAGGCAGCAGGAGGGAAUCUUCGGCAAUGGACGGAAGUCUGACCGAGCAACGCCGCGGGAGUGAAGAAGGUUUUCGGAUCGUAAAGCUCUGUUGUAAGGGAAGAACGAGUGUGAGAGUGGAAAGUUCACACUGUGACGGUAUCUUACCAGAAAGGGACGGCUAACUACGUG